rnacentral:lncRNA from 1 species
AGCACAUGGGGAGGGGUGUGUCUAGUUUGUAUGCUCACCCCCUCCAUGGGCUUUCUAGACCGGCCUUGGUAAAUUUAGAGGUUUUUUUAGAAACUCUAAGUUUACUUAGGUUGGUGUUUUAGGUGCCAAAAUUAAUUCUAAGAAAAAUUACAAAUAAAGUUCCUAUGCUAAUUUUGACAAGAAAUUAAAGUCUACUCUACACUAGAGUUUAUGGCAUUUGAACAUGUAAAAGAACGUCUUAUUGGAUCCUCUUGGCCAUAACUCUAGGGUUGGCCCAAAUCUACCCUUUGGUGGGCUUGCAUGUGGGCUUGUGCUUGGGCCUCUUCCAU